rnacentral:snRNA from 1 species
GGAAGUGAGGGCUAUCUGGCUGUGACAUCUGUCACCUCAUUGAUCUCCAGGGUUAAUUCAGCUGAUCUGGCUGGCUAGGCGGGUGUCUCCUUCCUCCCUCACCGCUCCAUGUGCGCCCCUCCCAAAGUGCGCGCUCGGUCGAAAGAGGACGACCAUCCCGGCUAGAGGAGGACCGGUCUUCAGUCAAGGGUUUACAAAUAGCUGCGCUCCCCUGCUAGAACCUCCAAAACAUUUUAUUGUUUCAUAGUAACAUUUCUAUUGUUUCAUUAAUGCCUACAUCUUUCUUGAUGAUUAGCUAUAG